CUCCGGCCCCAGGUCACCGCCAGCACGCGCCUGCUUCCCGUCUGCGCGAGUCCACGCAGCUCCCCAGGCCCUUCACCAGCACAGCAGCAGCAGGCAUGGCAGCAAGCGUGGAGCAGCGCGAGGGCACCAUCCAGGUGCAGGGCCAGGCCCUCUUCUUCCGAGAGGCCCUGCCCGGCAGUGGGCAGGCUCGCUUCUCUGUACUGCUGCUGCAUGGUAUUCGCUUCUCCUCCGAGACCUGGCAGAACCUGGGUACACUGCACAGGCUGGCCCAGGCUGGCUACCGGGCUGUGGCCAUUGACCUGCCAGGCCAUUUCCAGCACAUAGAAGAGAGAUUGGAAACCAACGUGCAGAACUGCCAGUCCCCUGACACGCUGUGCCCCACCCACUGCAGCCCAGUGCUGAAUGAACCCUGCCCAGAGGUGUCUGUAGUGAGCUUCUGCCCUAGUGACUUUUGAGCCGGCCAGGUUGCAGCGCGGACACACUCGCAGGUCGCUGUGGCCCCAGCCUCGCCUGACAGAAUGAGCGGCUCGGACGGGGGACUGGAGGA
ensembl:lncRNA novel transcript